GACGAACGCUGGCGGCGCGCCUAACACAUGCAAGUCGAACGGAGCUGAGAGAAGCUUGCUUUUCUUAGCUUAGUGGCGAACGGGUGAGUAACGCGUGAGUAACCUGCCCUGGAGUGGGGGACAACAGUUGGAAACGACUGCUAAUACCGCAUAAGCCCACGAUCCGGCAUCGGAUUGAGGGAAAAGGAUUUAUUCGCUUCAGGAUGGACUCGCGUCCAAUUAGCUAGUUGGUGAGGUAACGGCCCACCAAGGCGACGAUUGGUAGCCGGACUGAGAGGUUGAACGGCCACAUUGGGACUGAGACACGGCCCAGACUCCUACGGGAGGCAGCAGUGGGGGAUAUUGCACAAUGGGGGAAACCCUGAUGCAGCGACGCUGCGUGGAGGAAGAAGGUUUUCGGAUUGUAAACUCCUGUCGUUAGGGACGAUAAUGACGGUACCUAACAAGAAAGCACCGGCUAACUACGUG
rnacentral:rRNA from 1 species